UAGGAAGUGGUGUAGAGGAAGCACAAAGAGUUUUGAUCUCUUUAGGGAGGGUUCAAAUCCCUUUUUUCUAA
rnacentral:tRNA from 1 species